rnacentral:sRNA from 1 species
GCUGGGCAGGGUGGUGCACGCCUGUAAUCUCAGUGGCUCCGGAGGCUGAGACUGGAGAAUCUCUUCAAAGCCAGCCUCAGCUAAAGCAAGGCACUAAGCAACUCAGUGAGACCCUGUCUCUA